AGCAUGCUUUUCUGCCCUGGGCUGGGCUGUCUGCUCCAGAGAGCAGGACUGGCUCCACCCGUCUCCUCCCUAGCUUGAGCACUAUCACUGCUUCAACUGGCUGGCUGAGCUGGGAAAC